rnacentral:rRNA from 1 species
AUGAAACAACAACUGGUACCGUAUAGAAGGGGCCAUAAUCUGGAGAUUCUUGACCAAUUCGAAAGAUCAUUUGGUGUAGUUGAAAUAACAGAAUUGGAACUUGUUUGGUCAAGAAAGGGAAACUCAAUCAAAUUCAUAACUGUCUCAAUAGAAUCUUUUCCUUCUUUUUUUUCUAAAUAUUCAGUUAAGAGAAUUCCAAGGCUCCUUUUCGCCAUGCAUAAACUAAACCAACAACUAAGAUAA